ensembl:lncRNA
GAGGGAAUGCUGUGUGUCAAGAGAUUAAGUGCUGUAAAGGAAUCAAUCGAAGAGGGAAGUGAGAGGCAAAAAGGGUGUUGUGUGAAACAUAUGUGUGAGAAAUGUGAGCAAACGGUGAAUUAUUGGAUAGAGGAAGCAGAUAAGAGAGAAAGAAGAGCGAUACAGAAAGAAUUAGCAGGUAGAAAAGAGGAAAAGAGAAAUGAAAAAUAACUGCUGUGUGGACACAGUGAGAGAUGGGUUUAGGGCCUAAGAGUAAGCUGUAUGGGCAACAGGUGGUCCACGGAGCCGUGUUGGGUGCAGAAGGGAGACACCUGGGAGGAAACAGAUGUCUGAGGAUGACCUGAGUGGCGCUGCUGCAGAAGCGCGAGGGCUCAUCUCAGCUGAUGAUGGAUUCAGUGUAUCGCUUCCAGGUCACCUUCCUCUUCUGCUCCUCUCCACAAGCUCCUACAGG